rnacentral:rRNA from 1 species
GAGGUGNGAAAGCGUGGGGAGCGAACAGGAUUAGAUACCCUGGUAGUNNACGCNGUAAACGAUGAAUGCUAGGUGUUGGGGAANNUCAGUGCNGCAGUUAACACAAUAAGCAUUCCGCCUGGGGAGUACGACCGCAAGGUUGAAACUCAAAGGAAUUGACGGGGACCCGCACAAGCAGCGGAGCNNGUGGUUUAAUUNGAAGNAACGCGAAGAACCUUACCAGGUCUUGACAUCCUNUGACAAUCCCAGAGAUGGGACGUUUCCUUCGGGAACAGAGAGACAGGUGGUGCAUGGUUGUCGUCAGCUCGUGUCGUGAGAUGUUGGGUUAAGUCCCGCAACGAGCGCAACCCCCGCCUUUAGUUGCCAGCAUUGAGUUGGGCACUCUAGAGGGACUGCCGUAGACAAUACGGAGGAAGGUGGGGAUGACGUCAAAUCAUCAUGCCCCUUAUGACCUGGGCUACACACGUGCUACAAUGGUCUGAACAGAGGGCCGCGAAACCGCGAGGUGAAGCAAAUCCCUUAAAACAGAUCCCAGUUCGGAUUGCAGGCUGCAACUCGCCUGCAUGAAGUUGGAGUUGCUAGUAAUCGCGGAUCAGAAUGCCGCGGUGAAUGCGUUCCCGGGUCUUGUACACACCGCCCGUCACACCACGAGAGUUGGCAACACCCGAAGCCCGUGAGAGAACCGUAAGGACUCAGCGGUCGAAGGUGGGGCUAGUAAUUGGGGUGAAGUCGUAACAAGGUAAAAUCACUAGUGAAUUCGCGGCCGCCUGCAGGUNCGACCAUANGGGAGAGCUCC